rnacentral:misc_RNA from 1 species
CUGGAAGUAAAUAAAGUGGCUGGAAAUUUUCAUUUUGUACUUGGGAAAAGCCUUCAUCACUCAAACGUCGAUGUGCAAGAUUUGCUGGCUGUUAAAUCAUAUAGUUAUAAUAUAAGUCACAGGAUAAAUAGACUAGCUUUUGGAGACUACUUUCCUGGCGUGGUAAAUCCCCUGGAUGGGGUACAUUGGGAGCAUGAAACACCAAAUGGCAUUCACCAGUACUUCCUCAAGGUGGUCCCAACAAUAUACACUGAUAUCAGAGGCCACACUGUUAGUUCAAACCAGAGCAUUACAAGA